GAUGAACGCUGGCGGCGUGCUUAACACAUGCAAGUCGAACGGAAAGGCUCCUGCUUGCAGGGGUACUUGAGUGGCGAACGGGUGAGUAACACGUGGGUGAUCUGCCCUGCACUUCGGGAUAAGCCUGGGAAACUGGGUCUAAUACCGGAUAGGACGAUGGUUUGGAUGCCAUUGUGGAAAGUUUUUCGGUGUGGGAUGAGCUCGCGGCCUAUCAGCUUGUUGGUGGGGUAAUGGCCUACCAAGGCGUCGACGGGUAGCCGGCCUGAGAGGGUGUACGGCCACAUUGGGACUGAGAUACGGCCCAGACUCCUACGGGAGGCAGCAGUGGGGAAUAUUGCACAAUGGGCGCAAGCCUGAUGCAGCGACGCCGCGUGGGGGAUGACGGCCUUCGGGUUGUAAACUCCUUUCGCUAGGGACGAAGCGCAAGUGACGGUACCUGGAGAAGAAGCACCGGCUAACUACGUG
rnacentral:rRNA from 1 species